AAGUCGUAACAAGGUUUCCGUAGGUGAACCUGCGGAAGGAUCAUUACCUAGAGUUGCGGGCUUUGCCUGCCAUCUCUUACCCAUGUCUUUUGAGUACCUUCGUUUCCUCGGCGGGUCCGCCCGCCGAUUGGACAAAACUUAAACCCUUUGUAAUUGAAAUCAGCGUCUGAAAAAACUUAAUAGUUACAACUUUCAACAACGGAUCUCUUGGUUCUG
rnacentral:misc_RNA from 1 species